UACGUAGGGGGCUAGCGUUGUCCGGAAUCAUUGGGCGUAAAGCGCGCGUAGGCGGUCAGGUAAGUCCGGUGUGAAAGUCAAAGGCUCAACCUUUGAAUGCCGCUGGAAACUGCCUGACUUGAGUCCGGUAGGGGCGAGUGGAAUUCCUGGUGUAGCGGUGAAAUGCGUAGAUAUCUGGAGGAACACCGGUGGCGAAGGCGGCAUCCUGGACCGGUAUUGACGCUGAGGCGCGAAAGCUAGGGGAGCAAACGGG
rnacentral:rRNA from 1 species